AGGACGAACGCUGGCGGCGUGCUUAACACAUGCAAGUCGAACGGUAAGGCCCUUCGGGGUACACGAGUGGCGAACGGGUGAGUAACACGUGGGUGAUCUGCCCUGCACUUCGGGAUAAGCUUGGGAAACUGGGUCUAAUACCGGAUAUGACUACGAAUCGCAUGGUUUGUGGUGGAAAGCUUUUGCGGUGUGGGAUGGGCCCGCGGCCUAUCAGCUUGUUGGUGGGGUGAUGGCCUACCAAGGCGACGACGGGUAGCCGGCCUGAGAGGGUGUCCGGCCACACUGGGACUGAGAUACGGCCCAGACUCCUACGGGAGGCAGCAGUGGGGAAUAUUGCACAAUGGGCGCAAGCCUGAUGCAGCGACGCCGCGUGAGGGAUGACGGCCUCGGGUUGUAAACCUCUUUCAGUAUCGACGAAGCGCAAGUGACGGUAGGUACGAGAAGAAGGACCGGCCAACUACGCGCCAGCAGCCGCGGUA
rnacentral:rRNA from 1 species